UACGGAGGAUGCAAGCGUUAUCCGGAUUCAUUGGGUUUAAAGGGUGCGUAGGCGGUCUGAUAAGUUAGAGGUGAAAGGCAGUGGCUCAACCACUGACAUGCCUCUGAUACUGUCAGACUAGAGAAUAGUUGCUGAGGGCGGAAUGUGUGGUGUAGCGGUGAAAUGCUUAGAUAUCACACAGAACACCGAUUGCGAAGGCAGCUCUCAAAGCUAUAUCUGACGCUGAGGCACGAAAG
rnacentral:rRNA from 1 species